CUACAAUCCAACUCCUCUAUCUUGCCGCCACUGGAAGGGAUUGGCUCAUUGAUUCGGGCUCGUCUUGCUCCUUGCUCCCUUCCUCGCCAUGUGGGCCAAUCUACACACAGUUGCGGGCUGCAAAUGACUGGUCUAUCCCUGUGUACGGAUCUAAGGCCAUUUCCUUCACAUUGGGCCGAAACACAUUUGAGUGCACAGUCUACUUGGCAGACGUGACCAACCCAAUUCUUGGGGCCGACUUCUUGCAUAAACACCACCUUUUGCUAAACACAGCUGGAAAAGUACUCCGUCAUCCAAAUUCGGUUUGGUAACCCACCUUUUCACCGUCCCUCCAAGCCUGGUUUAUCAAGUGCACCCUUCACCCCCCCUCGUCGUUCACGAUGCUCUUGGAGCGGUACCCCUGCCUUGGCGCGCCGGGCGUCAACCACCAGAUCAGUACUUCUGGCCCCCCACCCGCGUCCCCUCUCCCCGUCAAAGUUACAAGUGGCAAAGGAACAUUUCCUUGAACUUAAAAAAAUGGGUAUGGUACAACGCUCAUCCAGCCCGUGGGCCAGCCCCCUCCACAUGGUUCCCAAAAAGGAUGGCUUGUGGCGCCCUUGCGGUGAUUAUUGCCGUCUCAACAGCGUUACGCUACCUGACGCCUAUCCCGUGCCUCGGAUUGAUGACACUCUCUCCAAACUACAUGGGGUUACAGUGUUUUCUAAGCUGGACCUUGUCAAGGGGUAUUACCAGAUGCCUGUCCACCCUGAUGACGUUGCCAAGACAGCCAUCAGCACUCCUUUUGGUUUAUGGGAGUUUCUUUGUAUGCCGUUUGGCCUUCGCAAUGCCGGCCAAACCUUCCAACAGUUGAUGGAUUUGAUCUUCUCAGAUCUCCCAUGUGUUUUUGUCUAUGUUGACGACAUUCUCAUCUUUAGCCCCUCUGACUUGCACCAUGCUUCGCUCUUGGCAGAGGUAUUUUCUCGUCUUGCCAGUCAUGGUCUGGCCCUUAACAUCCCCAAGUGCCUUCUGGGCGUACCCUCACUCUCUUUCCUAGGCCACAUUGUCUCACCCGACGGCCUCAGGCCAGACCCUGCCAAGGUAGCUGCCAUCACAGCUUUCCCUCCUCCUGUGGAUGUCCAGGGCCUCCAGUAAUUCCUGGGCCUUGAUAAUUACUAUCGGCGUUUUCUCUGCAUGGCUUCUUCAUUCAUUGCCCCAUUUUCUUCCCAUGUUUCCCGUUGUGAAGCCACCAAGUCCUGGUCUUAGCCCCCCAAGUCUCAUCCGCUUUUUCUUGCCAAGGAUGCCAUCGCCAAAAUAACUCUUACUUCACACAUGUCCCCCUCAGCCGCCAUUGCGGUCCCUACAGACGCCUCCAACACUGCUGUUGGUGGUGUACUUGAGCAAUGCUCUGGCACAGCAUGGCUCCCAGUGGCUUUUUUCAGCCACAAAUUGAGUGUUCCUGAGCUGAACUACUCCACUUUUGUUUGGGAACUGUUGGGAGCAUUCCUCACAAUAUGUCACUUCCGUCAUCUGCUUGAUUCCAGGCCAUUCACCCUGUUCACCGACCACAAACCCCUGGUCGCUGCUCUGACUGAGAGGGGUGACCCCUUUUCCGGACGCCAACAACGUCAGCUUUCUUCUCUCAGAAUUCCCCCUUACCAUCCAACAUCUCGCUGGUCCCGCAAAUACUGUCGCUGACGCAUUAUCACGCUCCUGCUCACUUCAGCCCGCAAUUUUGUGGAUCCGUUUGGCAGCUGCUCAAGCGUCCCAGCCCCCUGAUGUCCCGGCAUCGUCAACUAUUUAUCUCGUCCGCCUUGUUUGUGACGACCUCGAGAUUUGGCAUGACGCUAGCACCAAUCCUCCUCGACCAUGGAUCCCUUCCAGCCUCCGACGGGAAAUCUUUGAUAGAUUACACACCCCUUGUCACCCUUCUGCACGAGCCUGCCGCAAACUCAUUCAUCGGUCAUGUGUUUGGCCCCGUAUGUUGAGUGACAUUGCAUCCUGGUCACAUGAGUGCCUUUCGUGUCAGCGCUCCAAGAUUUUCCGUCACACAAGGGCCCCCACUGAAUUUUUUCCUCCAACUGAUGGCCCUUUCUCACAUAUCCAUGUUGAUCUAGUUGGGCCCCUUCCUCUCAGCAAUGGAUUUUGUUCUCUGCUUACUCUUGUAGAUCGUGGUAUGCAUUGGUUGGAGGCUGUCCCUUUAGCUGAAGCUACAGCCUCCUCCUGCGUACAAGCCUUGGCCUCCACUUGGUUGCCGCGCUUUGGAGUGCCAACGCGCAUUACUACUGACAGAGGCGUCCAGUUCACCUCGUCUCACUGGACGGCUUUCCUUGCAUCCAUUGGCACCAAACCGAUUUUCACUUCAGCUUACCAUCCACAGGCCAAUGGUUUGGUCAAGAGGGCUCAUCAGAGUUUGAAGGCCGCCCUUUGUGCCAAGCUGGAACGCACUGAUUAGUAUGGCGUCCUCCAUGAUGUCCUCCUUGGUCUCCGAACUUAUCCCCAUGGUGAUCUUCACAACCUGUCAUCUGCUGAAUUGCUUUUUGGUGUCCCACUCCGCAUUCCUGGCACGCCACCACCUGCUGCUAGUCCCCCUUCAGCAAAGAACCUGGCUCUGGCCUCUAGGACAAACCAUCACAGUAACCGCCCAUCUUGGUUCCCAGCAGCCCUCCAUGAUUGCUCUUAUGUGUGGAUCCGUGCUCCCCCUGUCCGCGGCAGCCUCAAGCCCCAUCCCAACGGCCCCUUCCUGGUGCUAUCUUGGGGCUGCAAGUCCUAUGUCCUUGAUGUAAAUGGUCAUGUGGACUCUGUCACUGUCGACCACCUGAAGCCUGCGUUCUUGCCAUCUUCCUUGCUACCACCUACCCCACCAUCAGAUCUGCCUUUACACCCACCCCCCUUGCCCACAUUUGUCCCACAUUUGACCUCUCGUGGCUGUUCCACUUUAAAACCGUCCACUUAUUCUGAAGUUUGAUUUGUUGCUUAUGCUUAUUCUGUCCUUUUCUGUUUUUUCAGACUAAUACACCUUGGCCUUCAUUGAGAGGGGUAUUGUGGCGACCCUGAACCGGGGUUGUUUUGGUUGCUUGGGCCCCAGCUUCCUCGUUCGGCCAUUAACGUUUCUAAACUCGUAUUGCUUACUUACUUGCGACCCCAAUGAUCAGGGGAGUCGCAGCCAAACCUCCGAGAGGAGAACAACUCUCAAAACAACCCUCGAAGAGAGAAGACACGAAAUGAAAGCCAGAUUCUAGUUGUCUCAAAAGAAAAAAAUUCCCUUUACUAUGGAUGGGAAUUGGAAGUCAAGAAGCAUCACCAUCAAAGCUCAAUUUAGAGUGAACAACCCGGAGAAAGUGAUCAAGAUCAUUUAAUAUGUCCUGUGGAGGAAGAAGUGGGAAGUUGAAAGUGAUUUGUACGUUGAACAGAAAUCAAAAAGAUUACAAUUGAGUGUUUGGCUUUCCUCAGUGUGGAUGGUCUGAACUAGAGCCACUAUAAUAGAAGAGUACGCACAUGAGAUUUUUGGUCCCAAAACGUCGUUUCCAUUGUACUAUGGUUCUUCAGUUCACCCAAGGCGGCUUUUCCUGUGUUAUGCAUUUACUUCAUUAUUGUUGAACUCAGCAAGAACACAAAUCGGGUGCAAUAUUUUUUUUAAUUCGAUAGUCUCUAAUACCGUAAAAAAUAAUAAUUUAGCUGAUUCAGUUCACCCCCAAGGCG